GGAAUCUACAAGUCGAGGAUGGAGGAAGGGAGAGAGGCCACUCACUUAUUUAACAAACCCGCAGAGCUGGAGCCUCAGUGCUGACAGGCCAGUGUAGCCCCUGUGCUUGGGGAGGGGGAGACCAGGGACACAGUCACUCACCCCAAGCGUCAGGACUGGAAGGGGGAGAGCGGACUUGCUGAGGAGAAGACCUUGAGGCCGGGUUUUGUAGGGUGCGUAGGAGUUGGAGUCAGGGGGUCAUCUUAGACACGAUGGGGGGAGAAUGACUCCCCUCCCCAGACCAGGGCGGUGGAGGGGCGGUGUUUGUUCCUGAGCCCGGCUGGCAGACGGCGCGUGUACCCCAAGCUCUCAAUCCCGACUGCCUAGAAUCAAGCCGGGCUUUGAUCCAGAUUCUCCAAUCCAUUUGUUCAUUGGUGUUCUCCGGCUGGUUCUCACAACCUCUCUGUGCCACAUUGCCCUCAUCCGUGAGAAGAGGAGGCUUGCGAGGAGAAAAUGAGAGAAUUCACGGAAAGCACAGUGCUCACCAGACGGGAGCUGCUGUCCUUGUGAGCCCAUUCAGGGUCCAGAAGGUUGGAGUGGAAGGGGUCAGAGAGAGGCGAGGCAGCCAGAGGAAAUAGAAACGAUGUUGACAGAAGCUGUCGCUGGAAGGGAAGCUGCCCGCAAAACCCACAUCAGGUGGUUCUACACCCUUGCCACAGGGGUCUCCUCUCGACUUGUCGUGAUGGAUCUUUUUUCCUGGAAGUUUUCACUCAGUCCCCUUCGCUCCCACCAGACCGUGAGCUCCGGGGUCGGCCCAGUGGUCCCAGCACCCAGCCUGGCGCAUAGGAGGGACGUAGUAACUGGGUGAACGGAUGGAUGGAUGGACGGAUGGAUGGACGGACGGACCUCCCUACCUUUCUUCUUCUUGUCGCCAGGAGAGAAAGGAAGGAAAUUUCAAACAACUCUGAGCCGUAGCUCAGCCUGGAGCUGCGGCAACCCCAGCCUCCCUGGCGGGGAGCAUCGACCCAUGGCGGGCGGGCGGGUGCGGCUGCUUUGUGGAGGUGGAGGGCGCUGGGGGACCUGCGCCAACCUGCUUCACGGCGUCCAGACCCCCCUCCACCUCCACCCCGCUCCCGGCAGCUCUGCAGAGCCCGGGUGUCAGCAGCCAGUGGGGGGCUGCGCAGGGAAGGGGUUGGGGGGGGUGGAGCUGUGCAGCCUCUGCAGCAGCCGGCACGGAGAGGCCCUCUUGACGCACAAAAGCAGGAAAGGCACAUUAAGCCCAUUAUCAAUAUUUUGCCUGGAAAAAAUACAAAAAGCAUUUUCGCCUCUGAAAAAUUAAUAACCUGGAAGGGGGGGAGGCUGGGGGUGAUGUCUGGCAAGUGGGGGGCGGGGGAGGCUCCUCUGCCCCCAGUGGGUGCCUGGGUCCCUCUGAGAAAGCCGCCCCAGCCCACCUGACUCGCUUCGCGCCUCCGCUCCUCCUCCAGGCCGAGCCCCCAGCAGGCCUCCAGCUGCAGGCCUGGCCCCCCAGUCUACCUCCAUCCUCUCCUCUGGAGGGGGCAUCCUCCCCAGCUGAGCCCCUCCCAGCUCCCCCAAAUGGGCCAUGUCCUUCUACACCCUGCCUGUGCUUCUGCUGUUCCCUUGUCCCUCUGCUCUCCCUAGGAAACUCCUACUUUACCUGCAAAGCCCAGCUCCAAUGGCCCCUCCUCUAUACAAUUUUCCCUCCCCCUGAGACAGAACCCCCACUACCCUUCCCUGACCUCCCACCCCAGCA
ensembl:lncRNA